AUACGGAGGAUCCGAGCGUUAUCCGGAUUUAUUGGGUUUAAAGGGUGCGCAGGCGGCCAUUUAAGUCAGCGGUUAAAUCGUGGGGCUCAACCCCAUUCUGCCGUUGAUACUGGGUGGCUUGAUCGCGGUCGAGGUUGGCGGAAUUCGUUGUGUAGCGGUGAAAUGCAUAGAUAUGACGAAGAACACCGAUUGCGUAGGCAGCUGACCAGACCGCAAAUGACGCUCAUGCACGAAAGUGCGGGGAUCGAACAGGAUUAGAUACCCUGGUAGUCCGCACAGUAAACGAUGAAUACUUGUUUUCGGCGAUAUAAUGUCGGAGGCAAAGCGAAAGCGAUAAGUAUUCCACCUGGGGAGUACGCCGGCAACGGUGAAACUCAAAGGAAUUGACGGGG
rnacentral:rRNA from 1 species